GGAAGUAACAGUCGUAACAAGGUUUCCGUAGGUGAACCUGCGGAAGGAUCAUUAUUGUAUAACCGAGGUGCGAGGGCUGUCGCUGACCCGAAAGGUCGUGCACGCCCGAGUGCCCUCACACACAUCCAUCUCACCCCUAUGUGCACCACCGCGUGGGUCCCCCUUUGGCUUGUUCGGAGGGGGGCUUACGUUUUCACACAAACUUUGUAUGCAGUGUAGAAUGUAUUUUUUGUUUUUGCGAUCACGCAAUCAAUACAACUUUCAACAACGGAUCUCUUGGCUCUC
rnacentral:misc_RNA from 1 species